rnacentral:lncRNA from 1 species
UGGGGGGUGAGUGUUGUGAUUAUGAUUUGGGAGAAAUGAAAAAGGAAAAGAAUAGACUCUUUGUGCUUAAGUGAAUUGUUUUAUUGGGAUAAGUAGAGAAGCCUCUAGCUCAAGUUUUGAAAAGUCUUGGCUCCCAGCCUAAAAUAAAAAAAAAAGAAAAAAGAAAAAAAAGAAAAAACGAAAUAAAAAAGAAAAGAAGAAAAAAAAAGAGAAAAGAAAGAAAAAGGGGGCUAGCAAAGUUGUUAGGAGCUAAGAAAUGUUUUGAGGUU